CGCCUCUUGUCACCUAUAAGAGGUCCUGCCUGCCCAGUGACCUAAUUCAACGGCCGCGGUAUCUUAACCGUGCGAAGGUAGCAUAAUCAAUCGUUCUUUAAAUGAGGACUAGUAUGAACGGCGUCACGAAGGCCUCACUGUCUCCUUUUUCAAAUCAGUGAAACUAAUCUCCCUGUGAAGAAGCAGGGAUAAAGUUAUAAGACGAGAAGACCCUGUGGAGCUUUAAACACAUAUAUUACCUGCUACCACAACACAGUAAGCUUGCCUAAUUAUAAGUUUUAGGUUGGGGCGACCCUGGAGUAAAAAACAACCUCCAAGUAGAAAGGAUCAACAUUCCUUAGCAAAAAACUUCAACUUGAUGCACCAAUAAAUUGACUUCAAUUGACCCAAUAUUUUGACCAACGAACCAAGUUACCCCAGGGAUAACAGCGCUAUCCACUUCAAGAGACCCUAUCAAAAAGUGGGCUUACGACCUCGAUGUUGGAUCAGGGUUUCCCAGUGGUGCAGCCGCUACUAACGGUUUGUUUGUUCAACAAUUAAAACCCU
rnacentral:rRNA from 1 species